CACACGAGUUUGAUCAUGGCUCAGGAUGAACGCUAGCGGCAGGCCUAAUACAUGCAAGUCAAGGGGCCAGCAAUGGCACCGGCGCACGGGUGCGUAACACGUACACAACAUACCUUUAAGUGGGAGAUAGCAUCGGGAAACUGGUGGUAAUACCCCAUAAUAUUGCGAUGCGGCAUCACAUUGCAAUUAAAGUUUCGACGCUUAAAGAUUGGUGUGCGUCCGAUUAGCUAGUUGGCGGGGUAACGGCCCACCAAGGCUACGAUCGGUAGGGGGUGUGAGAGCAUGACCCCCCACAUGGGUACUGAGACACGGACCCAACUCCUACGGGAGGCAGCAGUAAGGAAUAUUGGACAAUGGACGAAAGUCUGAUCCAGCCAUGCCGCGUGCAGGAUGAAGGCGCUCAGCGUUGUAAACUGCUUUUGGAUGGGAAUAAUAACCUCGACGUGUCGGGGCUUGAAGGUACCAUCAGAAUAAGCACCGGCUAACUCCGUG
rnacentral:rRNA from 1 species